AGUUCUUUUAUUUUAUUUUUUAUUCAUCUUUUUUGAACUGGGAGUGGUAUUGAAUGUCUUAGAACUGGGAGUGGUAUUGAAUGUCUACUUACAAGGAAUAACUACCCAAACAUUUCAUAAAAUGCCCUAAGGCGAUUCGAACUCCCGACAUACUCGCAUUGAAGUGAAGAUCUUUGCACCAGGGAAUUGAGCCUGUUCUGUGUAGAAAUCCACAGAGAGAGUAUUAAGGGCCGAGCUGUGGGAGGAAGAAAGAGUUUAAAGCACUUGUCUCCUCCUCUGGUGUGUGCGGAUGGGAAGCUGAUUAGCUGUUCACACAGGAGGAAAGUGAGCAUUAAGAUUCUAUGUAUGCAAACCACCUUCGAGUUAGCAAGCCACCUUGGCUUACUCUCUCUAGCACUACUGUUCCAGGCACGAUUACGAAGUCAAAGUUCCAAUGAAUGGCAAGUGCUCUGGCCGGCCAUUUCUUUGAAUCCAUGGCACCUAGCAAUCAUUUGGUUUGGCAUCUCCGUGGUAAUUCAUCAGAGCUUGAUAUUGCCCAAGAUUAAGGUCAGAGCUUGGAGAUGAUCCCCAAGAAGAGAUUGGAUGGGAAGAAGAAGCAUUUAGAUGCUGAUUGUAGAAAGAAGAUGAAUGUGGGAUCUGCUUGGAGCCUUGCACCAAAAUGGUUUUGCCAAAUGGCUAUCAAGCAGUGUGCACCAAUUGCUACUGUGAUUGGUAAAAGUAAAUCUCUUUCUUUCUUUCUUUCUUUCUUUGUAGCGCAAGACUUUGUAUUGCUUUUUAAGAAUUACAAUGACAAGCUUGUUUGCAUUGGCUAACCCAAAAAACAAUGAACCAACUUCUUUUAAGAGCACCUGAGAGUUGAAUUAUAUUAACA